UAUAAUAGUAUAAUCUCUAUUGGUUAUUAUUAUUAUUUUCUACUGCACCUUUAAAAUAAUAAUAUAUGUAUUGCAUUUUAUUUUAUUAUAUUUAAUUUGACAAUUUUUUUAUACCUAUAACUAGAGGUAUUACAUUUAAAGUAGCACCCCCACUACCAGCAACCACGAGUCUUCACUGCGUUUAACAUUAAAUGUAUACAUUACAUCGAAAUAGUGUACGUCAAGUAUCGGCCGCACACUUGUCCUUGACUAUUACAGAAGUUAUAAUUAAUUGAAUUAUACAUAAUAAUUAUAACGUCGUUAUCGGUGGUUACAAUCAAGUAAUUGUCACCGUCGAGAACGUCCUACAUACAAUCGUUGGUAAUAACACUUCGGCGAUAACAGCUAAGUGGGUAAACCGAAUUGGGCGUGAGGUGCGCACAAUGGGUGAAACCCAAUGAAAACUAACCUAAGUCGUUGGGAGUAGGGGAUCUCCUCAACAUGUCGUAAUGAGCGAAGGGGUAAUGAAACUUAACUUGAAACCAACCGCCAUGUUAUAAUCCGCAUUACUGUCAACAUUUUACGAAAAAUAAUUGCUUUUUCUAAGAAUUUUUAUCAUUGCCUACCAGACGCAUAGCUAAGCAUGUUUCAAACAUAAAAGGUACCGCCAUAUCAUAAUCCACAUUACCGUCUACAUUUUAUAAGAACAAAGACAACGUCUGUCGUUAUGGCAUAAUAAAUUCUAAGAAAUUUAUCAUGGGUAACCAGACGCUUAGGUCAGCAUAUUUCAAACAUCAAAGAGGUCGCCGCAUAAAAAUGUCGUAUGAAUCUUAUCAUCGGAUGCCAGACGCUUAGAUAAGCAUAUUUCCGACAUUGUUUGUGUAGUACCUGUUUAAACCAACCAAAACUUGUCUAAACAAGAUCUUUGACCCCUAUAAAAGAACGUCACAUCAAGUUCAGGAUCAUUCACUCAUUAUCUUUUCC